UACGUAGGGGGCAAGCGUUGUCCGGAAUCAUUGGGCGUAAAGAGCGUGUAGGCGGCCCGGUAAGUCCGCUGUGAAAGUCCAGGGCUCAACCCCGUGGGAUGCCGGUGGAUACUGUCGGGCUAGAGUGCGGAAGAGGCGAGUGGAAUUCCGUGGUGUAGCGGUGAAAUGCGCAGAUAUCAGGAGGAACACCUAUUGCGAAGGCAGCUCGCUGGGACGUUACUGACGCUGAGACGCGAAAGCGUGGGGAGCAAACAGG
rnacentral:rRNA from 1 species